GCGGGGGUUACCGAGCCUGGCCAAAGGUGAUAGAUUCAGGGUCUAUUCGUUUAGACGUUCGAGGGUUCAAAUCCCUUCCCCCGCACCA
rnacentral:tRNA from 1 species